rnacentral:rRNA from 1 species
UACGUAGGGGGCAAGCGUUGUCCGGAAUUAUUGGGCGUAAAGAGCUCGUAGGCGGUUUGUCGCGUCGAAUGUGAAAACCCGGGGCUCAACUCCGGGCCUGCAUUCGAUACGGGCAGACUAGAGUUCGGUAGGGGAGACUGGAAUUCCUGGUGUAGCGGUGAAAUGCGCAGAUAUCAGGAGGAACACCGGUGGCGAAGGCGGGUCUCUGGGCCGAUACUGACGCUGAGGAGCGAAAGCGUGGGGAGCAAACAGG